AUCAAUGCCUUCAAACUUCGAGACUGU
rnacentral:piRNA from 1 species